UUAACAUGAAAGUCUGUGUGACUCUUCGUCUCCUCUCUUGUGUGUCUGUCUCCAGGAGCAGGACACAAGGGCCCAUCGGUCCCGGCAAGUAUGGCUACGGCAAGGCCCCGUACAUCUUACCCCUGCAGACGGACACCACACACACGCCACAGAGGCUUCGAAGACAGAGGCCCUCAUCCCGGCCGUCCAGGUCCCAGGGGACAUCUGCUACCAGACAUGGCUACAACCUGCCAGGGCCUCUGUACCAAAGUGAAAAUGGCCCUCGUUCUGGACAUCAGGCCUCAGAGGCCUCCAUUUACCAGCUGCCUUUGACUCAGGACCAAGGCUUCUCUGCAGCUUCCAGUCUCUUCCACAGCCCAGAAACAAGUAGCCGUGGUGUGGGGGCCCAUAGGACAGACCGGAGCUUCUCGCAGCCCCUGCGAUCUGCAGCUAUCUCAUGCAUCGGGGCCUAUCGGCAGUACAAGCUCUGCAACACCAACGCAUGCCCAGAAAGCAGUAGGAGUAUCCGCGAGGUGCAGUGUGCCUCCUACAACAACAAGCCGUUCAUGGGCCGGUUUUACGAGUGGGAACCGUUUGCAGAAGUAAAGGGCAAUCACAAGUGUGAGCUGAACUGCCAGGCAAUGGGCUACCGCUUCUAUGUGCGGCAAGCUGAGAAGGUUAUUGACGGCACCCCCUGUGACCAAAACGGCACAGCCAUCUGCGUGUCAGGACAGUGCAAGGGUCAGCCAACAGAUUCCAGCACUUGCUGAACAUCUAUCUACCUUGUGAUCAGUCCAGAGCAAAACCUCGGAUGGACUUUUGAGCAAGCAUUCAACUUGAGGAAGCUAAUCAGCCAGUGGAAUGUUUCUAGAACCUUCAAAGCUUUUAAUCUCUGCUUUGUGACUUGCAUAGUUUGGUUCUGUUCAAUGGCUCCCUUUUUCCCCCAAAUGCCACCUGUAAAAUAAGUUAAACACCAUACUGUUUUAAUAUAAAAAUAUUUCCUCAAAUGCACUGUAUAAAUUAAUUACUCUUUUGGGUAAAGGAUAAUCUAAUUUCUCUUCCACAAUGUGUGCCAUUCACAUGUACCCCAUGGUUGUGGGGGCAGGUUACGAGUCAACAGAUUCUGAAGGAUUACGGCCUAUAAUAAAUGUCAGUCUGCGCUCUGAUUGAUUCCCUGCAGCCUCACAAGUUGUGACUUCAUUCAGUAACUUAAUACUGAUUGUGUUGCUUUGAUUCCCUCUGAUUUUUCACUGAAUCCUGGGCACCUACUGGAGUGCCUGGAACAAGCAAGGUGCCUGAUAAAUAUCUUCUGAAUGAAGAAGGACUUUUCACCCAUUAAAAGUGCUCCUGGGAGGAAUUUUUAGAGAGAUUUUAGUCAGAGAGAACUCCAGUUCAGACAGGCAUUAAGAGAGAAACCAGGAUUUUGGACCCUUGGCAAAGUAACAGUUAAAUAGCUUGUUAAAUAGCCCAGCACCUCUGCACAUAGUAGGUGCUUUUUGAGUAUUUGCCAACUGGCCACACCUGCUGUGGUAGUGUCUUAGUUCAAGCCUGGGCCUUAGGCAAUCAUGCAUCUCUUUGGGUGUGCACUCCGCGCUAAACGUUGCAGCAGCCCCAAUAGAUAUGACCAACAUCCCUGCUGCAGGUCAGCAAAAUGACAUUUGGACAGACUACACCAUUUAGCCAAGGGCGUGUAACCAAAGGGAAAUUUGGUUACAAAUUAUUAUUAUUA
rnacentral:lncRNA from 1 species